AGGACGAACGCUGGCGGCGUGCUUAACACAUGCAAGUCACGGGGGCCCGCAAGGGUAACCGGCGAACGGGUGCGUAACACGUGAGCAACCUGCCUAGAUGUGGGGGAUAGCCGGCCCAACGGCCGGGUAAUACCGCAUACGGUCACGAGGAGGAGUCUCCUUGUGAAGAAACCUCCGGGGCAUUUAGAGGGGCUCGCGGCCUAUCAGCUAGUUGGCGGGGUAAUGGCCCACCAAGGCUUCGACGGGUAGCUGGUCUGAGAGGAUGGCCAGCCACAUUGGGACUGAGAGACGGCCCAGACUCCUACGGGAGGCAGCAGUGGGAAUCUUGCGCAAUGGCCGAAAGGCUGACGCAGCGACGCCGCGUGUGGGAGGACGCCCUUCGGGGUGUAAACCACUGUUGCCCGGGACGAACAUCCACUUUCGAGUGGACUGACGGUACCGGGUGAGGAAGCACCGGCUAACUCCGUGCCAGCAGCCGC
rnacentral:rRNA from 1 species